AUGGAUUCCAAAAAGGCAAUCCUCAUCCUUGGCCUAUUGGCCAUGGUUCUUCUUAUCUCUUCAGAGGUUUCAGCUAGGGACUUAACUAAUACCAAAGAGGAAGUUGUUGAAAAGUCAAAUGAAGUGAAUGAUGCUAAAUAUGGAGGCUACGGUCGUGGAGGUGGUUACCAUAAUGGAGGUGGUUACAACAAUGGUGGUUACAACAAUGGUGGUGGUUACCACAAUGGUGGAGGUGGUUACAACAAUGGUGGCGGACAUGGUGGACAUGGCGGUGCUUCCAACAACGGUAACUAA